rnacentral:rRNA from 1 species
GGUUAAGCGACUAAGCGUACACGGUGGAUGCCCUGGCAGUCAGAGGCGAUGAAGGACGUGCUAAUCUGCGAAAAGCGUCGGUAAGGUGAUAUGAACCGUUAUAACCGGCGAUGUCCGAAUGGGGAAACCCAGUGCAAUUCGUUGCACUAUCGUUAACUGAAUACAUAGGUUAACGAGGCGAACCGGGGGAACUGAAACAUCUAAGUACCCCGAGGAAAAGAAAUCAACCGAGAUUCCCCCAGUAGCGGCGAGCGAACGGGGAGCAGCCCAGAGUCUGAAUCAGCUUGUGUGUUAGUGGAACGGUCUGGAAAGUCCGACGGUACAGGGUGAUAGUCCCGUACACCAAAAUGCACAGGUUGUGAACUCGAAGAGUAGGGCGGGACACGUGGUAUCCUGUCUGAAUAUGGGGGGACCAUCCUCCAAGGCUAAAUACUCCUGACUGACCGAUAGUGAACCAGUACCGUGAGGGAAAGGCGAAAAGAACCCCGGCGAGGGGAGUGAAAAAGAACCUGAAACCGUGUACGUACAAGCAGUGGGAGCACCUUCGGGUGUGACUGCGUACCUUUUGUAUAAUGGGUCAGCGACUUAUAUUCUGUAGCAAGGUUAACCGUAUAGGGGAGCCGCAGGGAAACCGAGUCUUAACUGGGCGUUAAGUUGCAGGGUAUAGACCCGAAACCCGGUGAUCUAGCCAUGGGCAGGUUGAAGGUUGGGUAACACUAACUGGAGGACCGAACCGACUAAUGUUGAAAAAUUAGCGGAUGACUUGUGGCUGGGGGUGAAAGGCCAAUCAAACCGGGAGAUAGCUGGUUCUCCCCGAAAGCUAUUUAGGUAGCGCCUCGUGAAUUCAUCUUCGGGGGUAGAGCACUGUUUCGGCUAGGGGGUCAUCCCGACUUACCAACCCGAUGCAAACUACGAAUACCGAAGAAUGUUAUCACGGGAGACACACGGCGGGUGCUAACGUCCGUCGUGAAGAGGGAAACAACCCAGACCGCCAGCUAAGGUCCCAAAGUCAUGGUUAAGUGGGAAACGAUGUGGGAAGGCACAGACAGCCAGGAUGUUGGCUUAGAAGCAGCCAUCAUUUAAAGAAAGCGUAAUAGCUCACUGGUCGAGUCGGCCUGCGCGGAAGAUGUAACGGGGCUAAACCAUGCACCGAAGCUGCGGCAGCGACACUAUGUGUUGUUGGGUAGGGGAGCGUUCUGUAAGCCUGCGAAGGUGACCUGUGAGGGUUGCUGGAGGUAUCAGAAGUGCGAAUGCUGACAUAAGUAACGAUAAAGCGGGUGAAAAGCCCGCUCGCCGGAAGACCAAGGGUUCCUGUCCAACGUUAAUCGGGGCAGGGUGAGUCGACCCCUAAGGCGAGGCCGAAAGGCGUAGUCGAUGGGAAACAGGUUAAUAUUCCUGUACUUGGUGUUACUGCGAAGGGGGGACGGAGAAGGCUAUGUUAGCCGGGCGACGGUUGUCCCGGUUUAAGCAUGUAGGCUGGUUGUCCAGGCAAAUCCGGAUAAUCAAGGCUGAGGUGUGAUGACGAGGUACUACGGUGCUGAAGUAACAAAUGCCCUGCUUCCAGGAAAAGCCUCUAAGCAUCAGGUAACAUUAAAUCGUACCCCAAACCGACACAGGUGGUCAGGUAGAGAAUACCAAGGCGCUUGAGAGAACUCGGGUGAAGGAACUAGGCAAAAUGGUGCCGUAACUUCGGGAGAAGGCACGCUGGUGUGUAGGUGAAGUCCCUGCGGAUGGAGCUGAGACCAGUCGAAGAUACCAGCUGGCUGCAACUGUUUAUUAAAAACACAGCACUGUGCAAACACGAAAGUGGACGUAUACGGUGUGACGCCUGCCCGGUGCCGGAAGGUUAAUUGAUGGGGUUAUCCGUAAGGAGAAGCUCUUGAUCGAAGCCCCGGUAAACGGCGGCCGUAACUAUAACGGUCCUAAGGUAGCGAAAUUCCUUGUCGGGUAAGUUCCGACCUGCACGAAUGGCGUAAUGAUGGCCAGGCUGUCUCCACCCGAGACUCAGUGAAAUUGAACUCGCUGUGAAGAUGCAGUGUACCCGCGGCAAGACGGAAAGACCCCGUGAACCUUUACUAUAGCUUGACACUGAACAUUGAGCCUUGAUGUGUAGGAUAGGUGGGAGGCUUUGAAGCGUGGACGCCAGUCUGCGUGGAGCCAACCUUGAAAUACCACCCUUUAAUGUUUGAUGUUCUAACGUUGGCCCCUUACCGGGGUUGCGGACAGUGUCUGGUGGGUAGUUUGACUGGGGCGGUCUCCUCCCAAAGCGUAACGGAGGAGCACGAAGGUUAGCUAAUCCUGGUCGGACAUCAGGAGGUUAGUGCAAUGGCAUAAGCUAGCUUGACUGCGAGCGUGACGGCGCGAGCAGGUGCGAAAGCAGGUCAUAGUGAUCCGGUGGUUCUGAAUGGAAGGGCCAUCGCUCAACGGAUAAAAGGUACUCCGGGGAUAACAGGCUGAUACCGCCCAAGAGUUCAUAUCGACGGCGGUGUUUGGCACCUCGAUGUCGGCUCAUCACAUCCUGGGGCUGAAGUAGGUCCCAAGGGUAUGGCUGUUCGCCAUUUAAAGUGGUACGCGAGCUGGGUUUAGAACGUCGUGAGACAGUUCGGUCCCUAUCUGCCGUGGGCGCUGGAGAAUUGAGGGGGGCUGCUCCUAGUACGAGAGGACCGGAGUGGACGCAUCACUGGUGUUCGGGUUGUCAUGCCAAUGGCACUGCCCGGUAGCUAAAUGCGGAAGAGAUAAGUGCUGAAAGCAUCUAAGCACGAAACUUGCCCCGAGAUGAGUUCUCCCUGAGACUUUAAGUCUCCUGAAGGAACGUUGAAGACGACGACGUUGAUAGGCCGGGUGUGUAAGCGCAGCGAUGCGUUGAGCUAACCGGUACUAAUGAACCGUGAGGCUUAACCUU